UUGACGACGACGACGGCGACGGCAACGGCGACGUCGAAAAGCUCGCUCAAUUGAGUGAAAACUGAAUAAAAUGAAACUGCAGGCAGGCUGAUCCCAUUCGAAAGUUUAGUUAUAUUUUGCGCCACCGCCACUAGUUGCUACGCUGUUAUUUUAUUUAUUUCGCUUUUUUUCGAAACCGGCAAAGCGAACAAACUUCGAUCAGAAGACAACAACAAUAUAUACAUAUAUAUAUAUGUAUAUAUAUAUAUAUAUAUCUAUAGCUUUGGAAAUUGAAAGUUGUCUGAGCGUCGCAGGGAGCGAGUGGAGCGUGAAACAGCGACACAUUGUGGCAACACCUAAGUCCCAAGGAUAAUAUCCUGUCGCCUGCCUGACGCCGGUAAGCCGAGGACACCAUAAGGCCAGGACCGCCGGAAGAGCCAGGGAUUCCAAGAAGCAAAGGGAAAUCUCUCUCUUUUCCCUUGCCAAAUUAUAAUUGUGUUCUAAAAGUAAAAUACACUUGGAAAAAUCCCAGUUUCUGAGACUAAUAUCUCGUAAAGCAGUAGAGAAUGGAAAAACUAAAAAUCAUUUUUCAAAACUGGAAAAAAAGAACUAAAAAAUUCUUUAGAUAUUUAAAGGAAAACUUUGGGGACAUCGAAGAGUUUAUAUGUCAACAGACUAUUACACCUGAACUUGAAAAAUAUUUGAAAAGAGAAAAGAAAGAAAGAGAAUUAAAUCGUGAAAUAAAAAUGUAGGUGCUAGCAUCCUAACACCAAA